rnacentral:tRNA from 1 species
GGAGAGAUGGCCGAGUGGUCGAAGGCGCACGCCUGGAGAGCGUGUAGGGUCUGAACGGGCCCUCGUGGGUUCAAAUCCCACUCUCUCCGCCA